rnacentral:rRNA from 1 species
GCCCUCGAUAUCGACUCAUCAGUACGACGGAACUGAUCUUAGCUGUUUCGCUGUUCGCCCUAUGGAAUCCCGACUUUGAUUCUGGCUCAGGACGAACGCUGGCGGCGUGCCUAACACAUGCAAGUCGAACGGAGAUGUUUAUUUCGGUAGACAUCUUAGUGGGCGCACGGGUGGAGUAACGCGUGAAUAACCUGACCCGAAGAGGGGGAUAACACCUGGAAACAAGUGCUAAUACCGCAUAAGACCACGGACCGGCAUCGGUCAGAGGUCAAAGGAGAAAUCCGCUUUGGGAGGGGUUCGCGUCCCAUUAGGUAGUUGGUGAGGUAACGGCCCACCAAGCCGACGAUGGGUAGCCGAGCUGAGAGGCUGAUCGGCCACACUGGAACUGAGACACGGUCCAGACUCCUACGGGAGGCAGCAGUGGGGAAUAUUGGGCAAUGGGCGCAAGCCUGACCCAGCAACGCCGCGUGAGGGAAGAAGGUUUUCGGAUUGUAAACCUCUGUCGCAGGGGACGAAGGAAGUGACGGUACCCUGUAAGAAAGCCCCGGCUAACUACGUGCCAGCAGCCGCGGUAAUACGUAGGGGGCGAGCGUUGUCCGGAAUUACUGGGCGUAAAGGGAGCGUAGGCGGUCGAUUAAGUUAGAUGUGAAACCCCCGGGCUUAACUUGGGGACUGCAUCUAAUACUGGUUGACUUAGAGUACAGGAGAGGGAAGCGGAAUUCCUAGUGUAGCGGUGAAAUGCGUAGAUAUUAGGAGGAACACCAGUGGCGAAGGCGGCUUUCUGGACUGACACUGACGCUGAGGCUCGAAAGCGUGGGGAGCAAACAGGAUUAGAUACCCUGGUAGUCCACGCUGUAAACGAUGAAUACUAGGUGUAGGGGGUAUCAACUCCCUCUGUG